GACGAACGCUGGCGGCGUGCCUAAUACAUGCAAGUCGAACGCAGUGGGUACGGGUGAGUUACACGUGGGUAACCUGCCAUCAGAGGGGAUAACACUUGGAAAUAGGUGCUAAACUGAUACCUGUGGAUGGUUCGGCGGUGCAUUAGCUAGUGGGUGAGGUAACGGCGCACCAAGGCCACGACGCAUAGCCGACCGGAGAGGGGGAUCGGCCACACUGGGACUGAGACACGGCCCAGACUCCUACGGGAGGCAGCAGUAGGGAAUCUUCGGCAAUGGACGGAAGUCUGACCGAGCAACGCCGCGUGAGUGAAGAAGGUUUUCGGAUCGUAAAGCUCUGUUGUUAGAGAAGCGGUAACUAACCAGAAAGGGACGGCUAACUACGUGCCAGCAGCCGCGGUAAUAC
rnacentral:rRNA from 1 species